UGGGGAAUUUUGGACAAUGGGGGAAACCCUGAUCCAGCCAUCCCGCGUGUGCGAUGAAGGCCUUCGGGUUGUAAAGCACUUUUGGCAGGAAAGAAACGUCGCGGGUUAAUACCCCGCGAAACUGACGGUACCUGCAGAAUAAGCACCGGCUAACUACGUGCCAGCAGCCGCGGUAAUACGUAGGGUGCAAGCGUUAAUCGGAAUUAUUGGGCGUAAAGCGUGCGCAGGCGGUUCGGAAAGAAAGAUGUGAAAUCCCAGAGCUUAACUUUGGAACUGCAUUUUUAACUACCGGGCUAGAGUGUGUCAGAGGGAGGUGGAAUUCCGCGUGUAGCAGUGAAAUGCGUAGAUAUGCGGAGGAACACCGAUGGCGAAGGCAGCCUCCUGGGAUAACACUGACGCUCAUGCACGAAAGCGUGGGGAGCAAACAGGAUUAGAUACCCUGGUAGUCCACGCCCUAAACGAUGUCAACUAGCUGUUGGGGCCUUCGGGCCUUGGUAGCGCAGCUAACGCGUGAAGUUGACCGCCUGGGGAGUACGGUCGCAAGAUU
rnacentral:rRNA from 1 species